rnacentral:rRNA from 1 species
UAUUGCACAAUGGAGGAAACUCUGAUGCAGCGACGCCGCGUGAGUGAUGAAGGCCUUCCGGUCGUAAAGCUCUGUCGUAUGGGACUAACAAAAUGAAGGUACCAUGCAAGAAAGGAUCGGCUAACUUCGUGCCAGCAGCCGCGGUAAGACGAGGGAUCCUAGCGUUGUUCGGAAUUAUUGGGCGUAAAGCGGGUGUAGGCGGACUUAUAAGUCAGGUGUGAAAUCCCAGGGCUCAACCCUGGAAGUGCACUUGAUACUGCAAGUCUUGAAUGUGGUAGAGGCUAUUAGAAUUCCUGGUGUAGUGGUGAAAUACGUAGAUAUCAGGAGGAAUACCGGAGGCGAAGGCGGAUAGCUGGGCCAACAUUGACGCGAGACCCGAAA